rnacentral:rRNA from 1 species
GACGAACGCUAGCGGCGUGCUUAACACAUGCAAGUCGAACGCUGAAGCUCAGCUUUUGUUGGGUGGAUGAGUGGCGAACGGGUGAGUAACACGUGAGUAACCUGCCCCCUUCUUUGGGAUAACGCCCGGAAACGGGUGCUAAUACUGGAUAUUCACUGGUCUUCGCAUGGGGGUUGGUGGAAAGGGUUUUUCUGGUGGGGGAUGGGCUCGCGGCCUAUCAGCUUGUUGGUGGGGUGAUGGCCUACCAAGGCUUUGACGGGUAGCCGGCCUGAGAGGGUGACCGGUCACAUUGGGACUGAGAUACGGCCCAGACUCCUACGGGAGGCGGCAGUGGGGAAUAUUGCACAAUGGGCGCAAGCCUGAUGCAGCGACGCCGCGUGAGGGAUGGAGGCCUUCGGGUUGUGAACCUCUUUCGCUCAUGGUCAAGCCGCAACAAUGGUUGUGGUGAGGGUAGUGGGUAAAGAAGCGCCGGCUAACUACGUG